rnacentral:rRNA from 1 species
GACGAACGCUGGCGGCGUGCUUAACACAUGCAAGUCGAACGAAGUGGCGAACGGGAGAGUAAUGCGUAAUCAACCUGCCCUUCAGAGGGGGACAACAGUUGGAAACGACUGCUAAUACCGCAUACUGAAGGAGGGGAUUGCGUCGUAUUAGCUAGUUGGAGGGGUAACGGCCCACCAAGGCGUGGAUCAGGAGCCGGUCUGAGGAGGUGAACGACCACAUUGGGACUGAGACACGGCCCAGACUGCUACGGGGGGCAGCAGGGGGGAAUCGUCCGCCAUGGACGAAAGUCUGACGGAGCAACGCCGCGUGAGUGAUGACGGCCGUCGGGUUGUAAAGCUCUGUUAAUCGGGACGCGGUACCGGAAUAGAAAGCCACGGCUAACUACGUGCCAGCAGCCGCGGUAAUAC